UUACAAUGGAGAGUUUGAUCCUGGCUCAGGAUGAACGCUAGCGGCAGGCCUAAUACAUGCAAGUCGAACGAGAUUG
rnacentral:rRNA from 1 species